rnacentral:tRNA from 1 species
GGUGAGAUGUCCGAGUGGCUUAAGGAGCAUGCUUGGAAAGCAUGUAUACGUAUUAUACGUGUCGAGGGUUCGAAUCCCUCUCUCACCG